AGCCGUUGCCGCCAGAUCCGCCGCUGCCGGAGCUUCUGUCCGGGUCCUGCCACUGGAGAACACCUCUGUCGCCACCGAGAUCUGCCGCCGUCGCCGUUGUCGGAGUUCUGGUCGUCGCUGUCGUUCGAGGUGGCUGCCGGAGCUGCCGCCAAACCGGUUCAGCGAUUGCCGCUGUUUCAUUUUCUUAGUUUGGGUUGUGUUUUGAGCGUCAUAUGUCGCUCUUAAGUUGCUGUGAGUGCUGCGGAAGUGAUCAGGGACUGAGUUUGCGGUUGCUGUUGGUUUCGGGUUAAGAGAAAUGGUUUCGUUGACGCAUUUUAAGCUAUGGUUUCGAUGAGUCGAGCUUUACCUUUUCAGGAACCGGAUGAAGAAGCGUUAAGAAGAGUUAUACCGCGUUUGGUUGAUAUGUUGUUGUAUUAAUUAGAUUAUUUUAUUCCCUCGACUUUGUUAUUACAAAUUUGUAAGAGGGAUAGGAUUUGUAUGUUUUAUAUCUAUAUUAUAUUAUGAGUUAUUAUGUAAGGAGUCUUGUAUAUGAAUCUAUGUCUGAUUGUUUUUUUAUUAAGAUAAAGUGUUUACUUCCGGUUUUCAAGGAAA